rnacentral:rRNA from 1 species
GACGAACGCUGGCGGCGUGCUUAACACAUGCAAGUCGAACGGAAAGGCCCCUUCGGGGGUACUCGAGUGGCGAACAGGUGAGUAACACGUGAGUAACCUGCCCUUGACUUCGGGAUAACUUCAGGAAACUGGGGCUAAUACCGGAUAGGAAUCCUUGCUGCAUGGUGGGGGUUGGAAAGCUUCGGCGGUUUUGGAUGGACUCGCGGCUUAUCAGCUUGUUGGUGGGGUAGUGGCUUACCAAGGCUUUGACGGGUAGCCGGCCUGAGAGGGCGACCGGCCACAUUGGGACUGAGAUACGGCCCAGACUCCGACGGGAGGCAGAAGUGGGGAAUAUUGAACGAUGGGCGGAGGCCUGAUGCAGCAACGCCGCGUGCGGGAUGACGGUCUUCGGGUUGAAAACCGCUUUCAGCAGGGGCGAAGCUUGUGGUGACGGUACCUGCAGAAGAAGCACCGGCUAACUACGUG